UAUUAAUAUUUUCUCUAAAAAAAAAAAAUACUGCUACAACAGCUCGUAUUUACUCAAAACUACUUCCCUAAACCCGGAAAACAGAUACAAAGAUGUACACAAACUAUUUAUAGUAAAAAGUGCAGUGAAGGGAGGCAGGAAAAGGAGUCCAUGAAGAAGCAUGCCUUUUCACAGGCUUCAUAAACAAGCUUUCGUAAUAUCAUCAUCAGUUGAAAAGGUUAAAGAAGCAUUAUAACAUUACAAAACUUUGGCUGGAAGUGAAGAAAACAACAUGGUGGCCUUGAAAGAAAACCCACAUUUUCAAGGGUUUACAUUAACAAAACAGUGAGCAGAAAAAAAAUACACAUUGUAUUACUCUAUUAAUGGCUCAAAUUACACAGUAAUGACUAGACUCGGUAAUUAGAUUGUUGUAGUGUUUGUGGUGUAAUAAAUUGUUUAAAAAAGGAGAUGAAAAUGAAGGUAUCAUGAAGGAUACGGGAUAUCUUAAUGUGUCUGAGGGGAGUGCUUCCUGACAGAUAUAUAGCUACCAUUACUGGUUUAAUUAUCCCUGGUAAUAGUUGGGUGAAAGAAUAAACUUCCUGAGGAAAGAUUGUUUUACAACUCUCUAAAAUAUUCACCAGAAGCCAAACUAAAAUCUCCCUGAGGUUAUGGUCUUGCCAUUCAAUGCAUGUGAAAGCACAUUCACACACACACACAGACACACACACAAUAGCAGCAAGAAAAAGCUUUUUUUAUUCAAAGGUAUAGCAUUACUUUUAUAAUACUUGUUAUCCACUAUUGCCAUCUAAAGCUUACUCCCUUAAUGCUGAUUGGAUAUUUUUGCUGAGGCAUGUAGCAGUGAAGCAUGAAGCAGUAUUUUCCAUCUACUGACAUAUCAAAAGGUAGCUUAUCGGAUCAUCUUAGUUUGCCAUUUUCCCUGCGUCACGGGUACAUUCUUUGGUCAACUUGUCCCUAUUCCUUUGGGGAGGGGGGCCUUUCUCGUUACACCUCGUAUCCUCGCAACCGCCUAUUUACAACAUGCAUGUUAUUAAGAACUAUGCCUAUUUUUGCUCACUGUUCUCCAACUGGAUGUCUUCUCACAAAGAGAGCAUCUCAAGAAAAAGCUGGAGAAACAAGGAUAUCAACAAGCUAGCCAUUGUCAGUCUGUUGCAGACCAGUACAGACUAAGGUUACCAGCAACACUGUCUUUCUACAUUGGUCUCCCUGAUGUAUUCCCCCAUGCUCUUCUCCUUCCCAUUGCUCUCCAUACCCUCUACCUCUAAGAGAAUUUAAUUUCAAGCAUCUGCAUCAAAGAAUACCUACGUUAUAAGACCAGGGAUAAGCAGGUUAUUCAAAGUAGCUAUUUUACAGUACUGAUGCAAGCCAGCGAUUCCCUAGGCUGCAUUAAAACUAGAAAUGUCUGGGAAAGGAAACCUCUAGCAAACCAGAGUAGGUGGAACACAGUCUUCGACUGUUCUUCAUAUGGUCUGCAAACAAGGGGUCAAGUUUUUGAGGCAACCUUCACUCCAGAAUCUCCACCCACCUGAAAGACAUUCUUGGAAAGUCACACAGUGGAAUGCUAUUAGCGCAUCACUUAACUGCUUUGACUGUUCUUCUAUUACACUACUGGAAAUCAUCACUUAAGUUACACUGCUGUAAGACUGGAGCUAUGAUUGUCAGCAUGAAAAUGGACAGAAUAUAUUAUUUUGCUCUGCUGUAUUUAGCUUGCCAGGAAAAUUAAAGAAAAAAGGGUAUUCUAAGUGUUGUGCCAGUUCUAUCCCUGAUUAGACAAAGUGCUCUUCUCUUCUGCCUUAGUUCAUUUCCCAGUACAGGGAAAAUGAAGACUUCACUUCUCUGCAUUCCAACUGGCAGGGCUACCCAGCUGCUCUAUCUCAAAGAUCAAGAAGUGUGACCAAUCCUGCUUAGAGAGCCUGGUCAGCCAUAAGCAUUUGCAGAGACCUCAUUUCUCAGAAACUGGAUCAUUUUGCACAUCUAGUUUAGGAAUCACUGGAAGAUAUUUUUUCAAGAAAGCCAAUUGGUUUUAAGCUCUCUCUCCUUACUACCAUACAGAAUCAUAUAAUCUUCUGAGUUGGAAGGGACCUUUAAAGGUCACCUAGUCCAACUGCCCUGCAGUGAACAUGGACACUUACAGC
ensembl:lncRNA